rnacentral:rRNA from 1 species
AAAAACUCCGGUGGUACAGGAUGGGCCCGCGUCUGAUUAGCUAGUUGGUAAGGUAACGGCUUACCAAGGCGACGAUCAGUAGCCGACCUGAGAGGGUGAUCGGCCACAUUGGAACUGAGACACGGUCCAAACUCCUACGGGAGGCAGCAGUGGGGAAUAUUGCACAAUGGGGAAACCCUGAUGCAGCGACGCCACGUGAGCGAUGAAGUAUUUCGGUAUGUAAAGCUCUAUCAGCAGGGAAGAAACUGACGGUACCUGACUAAGAAGCACCGACUAAAUAC